GGGAAAGAAGCCUCCUCCCCAGAGUUCCCGUGGAAACGGCAUCCGACCAGCUAAGAAGGCUUCCACGUGGGAAAGGAAGCUCAGCCUUUAUAAAAAGUCACUCCAAAAUACCAUCUCCUUCUCCCACUCUUCUUCUUUCUCCAGGACACCAGUGUCAGGGAGCUGUGCCACCUCAGUCUUCAGAUUUGUCCUGCCUUUGUACAAAACCCAGAGUUACUAUUCUCCUGGGGCCAGACAAGGAUCCUUGUGUGUUCCAAAGUACAUGGGGAUCUCUGGGCUCCUCCCCCAAGCCGGCUGCUUUGAAAACUUGAAAUGGUCUAAAGUUGCAUCAUUUUGUGGGAGUGAGUGAUUGUUAUUUUUAUUUUUCAUCAUGUUCUUUUCUUCUAUAAGUUUU